GAUUCGCACAUUCUGCUGGCCGAGUGUUUGAAAUAUAGUUUUAGUAGUUUUUAAAAAAAUAACCAAAAACAUAUGUAUGUGUGAAAAUUUAAUUUAUACUUUUAGAAAAUAGCGUUUUAACCACGAGCUGCAUAUAUUGCCCGGCUGGACCGUUGCUGCAAGACUAAAUGUAUGUGGAUGAAUUUCAAGCCGACGAAGACGUAUGUAUUAUAACCAUCACAAAUGUUGGCAAUGUACUACAACGCGCGCGUUUAUCAUUUAAUUUGCUCAAUUAAAGAACUUGGUGAUAAGAUGUGAUCGUACCGGAGAAUUUUCAGCGAGAAACAUUUCUUUAUUGCAAAUUUCUUAAUCGUUCAUUAAAUGAAGAUCUUAAGUAGCAAUAUAAAAAAUGUAUGCAUGUACUUAAAAAAUGCUUGCAAUAAAAAUGAUCUUAGUCCUAUCAUAUUGUAAAUA